UGGGGAAUAUUGCACAAUGGGCGCAAGCCUGAUGCAGCCAUGCCGCGUGUAUGAAGAAGGCCUUCGGGUUGUAAAGUACUUUCAGCGGGGAGGAAGGUGUUGUGGUUAAUAACCACAGCAAUUGACGUUACCCGCAGAAGAAGCACCGGCUAACUCCGUGCCAGCAGCCGCGGUAAUACGGAGGGUGCAAGCGUUAAUCGGGAUUACUGGGCGUAAAGCGCACGCAGGCGGUCUGUCAAGUCGGAUGUGAAAUCCCCGGGCUCAACCUGGGAACUGCAUCCGAAACUGGCAGGCUUGAGUCUUGUAGAGGGGGGUAGAAUUCCAGGUGUAGCGGUGAAAUGCGUAGAGAUCUGGAGGAAUACCGGUGGCGAAGGCGGCCCCCUGGACAAAGACUGACGCUCAGGUGCGAAAGCGUGGGGAGCAAACA
rnacentral:rRNA from 1 species